rnacentral:rRNA from 1 species
GACGAACGCUGGCGGCGUGCUUAACACAUGCAAGUCGAACGGAAAGGCCCUGCUUUUGCGGGGUGCUCGAGUGGCGAACGGGAGUGUAACAUGGGAGAAACCCGCCCUGGACUUUGGGAUAACUUGAGGAAACUGGGGCUAAUACCGGAUAGGAGCGCCUGCUGGAUGGUGGGGGUUGGAAAGCUUAGGCGGUUGGGGAUGGACUCGCGGCUUAUCAGCUUGUUGGUGGGGUAGUGGCUCACCAAGGCUUUGACGGGUAGCCGGCCUGAGAGGGUGACCGGCCACAUUGGGACUAGGAUACGACCCAGACUCGUACGGGGGACAGCAGUGGGGAAUAUUGCACAAUGGGCGGGAGCCUGAGACAGCAGCGCCGCGUGCGGGAUGACGGCCUUCGGGUUGUAAACCGCUUUCGCCUGUGACGAAGCGUGAAUGACGGUAAUGGGUAAAGAAGCACCGGCUAACUACGUG